rnacentral:rRNA from 1 species
UACAGAGGUCUCAAGCGUUGUUCGGAUUCAUUGGGCGUAAAGGGUGCGUAGGUGGCGCCGUAAGUCGGGUGUGAAAUUUCGGAGCUUAACUCCGAAACUGCAUUCGAUACUGCGGUGCUUGAGGACUGGAGAGGAGACUGGAAUUCAUGGUGUAGCAGUGAAAUGCGCAGAUAUCAGGAGGAACACCGGUGGCGAAGGCGGUUCUCUGGGCAUGUCCUGACGCUGAGGAGCGAAAGUGUGGGGAGCGAACAGG